ACUUGUCUAGCUCAGUUGGUGAAAUACAAGGCUCUUAACCUUGUGGUUGUGGGUUCGAGCCCCAUGGUGGGCG
rnacentral:tRNA from 1 species